AUUGAACGCUGGCGGCAGGCCUAACACAUGCAAGUCGAGCGGAUGAAGGGAGCUUGCUCCUGGAUUCAGCGGCGGACGGGUGAGUAAUGCCUAGGAAUCUGCCUGGUAGUGGGGGAUAACGUCCGGAAACGGGCGCUAAUACCGCAUACGUCCUGAGGGAGAAAGUGGGGGAUCUUCGGACCUCACGCUAUCAGAUGAGCCUAGGUCGGAUUAGCUAGUUGGUGGGGUAAAGGCCUACCAAGGCGACGAUCCGUAACUGGUCUGAGAGGAUGAUCAGUCACACUGGAACUGAGACACGGUCCAGACUCCUACGGGAGGCAGCAGUGGGGAAUAUUGGACAAUGGGCGAAAGCCUGAUCCAGCCAUGCCGCGUGUGUGAAGAAGGUCUUCGGAUUUAAAGCACUUUAAGUUGGGAGGAAGGGCAGUAAGUUAAUACCUUGCUGUUUUGACGUUACCAACAGAAUAAGCACCGGCUAACUUCGUG
rnacentral:rRNA from 1 species